rnacentral:rRNA from 1 species
ACGAACGCUGGCGGCGUGCUUAACCCAUGCAAGUCGAACGGAAAGGCCCUGCUUUUGUGGGGUGCUCGAGUGGCGAACGGGUGAGUAACACGUGAGUAACCUGCCCUUGACUUUGGGAUAACUUCAGGAAACUGGGGCUAAUACCGGAUAGGAGCUCCUGCUGCAUGGGGGGGGUUGGAAAGUUUCGGCGGUUGGGGAUGGACUCGCGGCUUAUCAGCUUGUUGGUGGGGUAGUGGCUUACCAAGGCUUUGACGGGUAGCCGGCCUGAGAGGGUGACCGGCCACAUGGGGACUGGGAUACGGCCCGGACUCCUACGGGAGGCAGCAGUGGGGAAUAUUGCACAAUGGGCGGAAGCCUGAUGCAGCAACGCCGCGUGCGGGAUGACGGCCUUCGGGUUGUAAACCGCUUUCGCCUGUGACGAGGCGUGAGUGACGGUAAUGGGUAAAGAAGCACCGGCUAACUACGU